GAUGAACGCUGGCGGCGUGCCUAAUACAUGCAAGUCGAGCGAACAGACGAGGAGCUUGCUCCUCUGACGUUAGCGGCGGACGGGUGAGUAACACGUGGAUAACCGACCUAUAAGACUGGGAUAACUUCGGGAAACCGGAGCUAAUACCGGAUAAUAUAUUGAACCGCAUGGUUCAAUAGUAAAAGACGGUUUUGCUGUCACUUAUAUAUGUAUCCGCGGCGCAUUAGGUAGUUGGUAAGGUAACGGCUUAGCAAGGCAACGAUGCGUAGCUGACCUGUUAGAGUAAUCGGACACACGGAAACUGAGACACGGUCCAGACUCCUACGGGAGGCAACAGUAGGGAAUCUUCCGCUAUUGGCGAAAGCUUGACGGAGCAACGCCGCGUAAGUGAUGAAGGUCUUGGGAUCGUAAAACUCUGUUAGUAGUGAAGAACAAAUGUGUAAGGAAAUAUGCACGUCUUGACGGUACCUAAUCAGAAAGCCACGGCUAACUACGUG
rnacentral:rRNA from 1 species